rnacentral:rRNA from 1 species
AACGAACGCUGGCGGCAUGCCUAACACAUGCAAGUCGAACGAGACCUUCGGGUCUAGUGGCGCACGGGUGCGUAACGCGUGGGAACCUGCCCUUAGGUUCGGAAUAACUCCCCGAAAGGGGUGCUAAUACCGGAUAAUGUCUUCGGACCAAAGAUUUAUCGCCUUUGGAUGGGCCCGCGUUGGAUUAGCUAGUUGGUAGGGUAAAAGCCUACCAAGGCGACGAUCCAUAGCUGGUCUGAGAGGAUGAUCAGCCACACUGGGACUGAGACACGGCCCAGACUCCUACGGGAGGCAGCAGUGGGGAAUAGUGGACAAUGGGCGAAAGCCUGAUCCAGCAAGGACGCGUGAGUGAUGAAGGCAUUAGGGUUGUAAAGCUCUUUUAACCGGGAUGAUAAUGACAGUACCGGGAGAAUAAGCUCCGGCUAACUCCGUG